GCCAGCCCCCUGAUGGGGGCGACACUCCACCAUGAAUCACUCCCCUGUGAGGAACUACUGUCUUCACGCAGAAAGCGUCUAGCCAUGGCGUUAGUAUGAGUGUCGUGCAGCCUCCAGGACCCCCCCUCCCGGGAGAGCCAUAGUGGUCUGCGGAACCGGUGAGUACACCGGAAUUGCCAGGACGACCGGGUCCUUUCUUGGAUAAACCCGCUCAAUGCCUGGAGAUUUGGGCGUGCCCCCGCAAGACUGCUAGCCGAGUAGUGUUGGGUCGCGAAAGGCCUUGUGGUACUGCCUGAUAGGGUGCUUGCGAGUGCCCCGGGAGGUCUCGUAGACCGUGCACCAUGAGCACGAAUCCUAAACCUCAAAGAAAAACCAAACGUAACACCAACCGUCGCCCACAGGACGUCAAGUUCCCGGGUGGCGGUCUAGACGCCGAGAUCAGAAAUCCCUCUCUCGGAUCGCAUUUGGACUUCUGCCUUCGGGCACCACGGUCGGAUCCGAAUU
rnacentral:misc_RNA from 1 species